GCCGUAGGGGAACCUGCGGCUGGAUCACCUCCUUAAAACGACGAGCCGCAACGGCGCGUCGGAGCAUCCACACAAGUUAUCCGAAAGUAGGGUCUACGGGCCCAGCGGAACGAAUCGGGUCUGUAGCUCAGCUGGUUAGAGCGCACCCCUGAUAAGGGUGAGGUCGCUGGUUCAACUCCAGCCAGACCCACCACUUAAAUUUCAUGGAGUAGAAUAAAGGGGGCCAUAGCUCAGCUGGGAGAGCACCUGCUUUGCACGCAGGAGGUCGGGAGUUCGAUCCUCCCUGGCUCCACCAAUGGGGAUGCGAAGCCAAGGUGGUUCAAGGUAGAUGGGGGAGUGCACAGAGCCAAGCGCUCAAGGUUUUGCGAAGAGCCGUGAGCGCUUUGCAUCUGGCAAAGUGCGAAGUUCUUUAACAAUCAGGUUAGAUCGCGAAAGGCGCCAAGCCGGACGAUGGUUCGGCUGGAUGCGUUACGAGCGUCAGCGUAUGACCUCAG
rnacentral:tRNA from 1 species